ACUCGAGUGGCGAACGGGUGAGUAACACGUGGGCGAUCUGCCCUGCACUUCGGGAUAAGCUUGGGAAACUGGGUCUAAUACCGGAUAGGAGCCAUCUUUAGUGUGGUGGUUGGAAAGUUUUUUCGGUGUAGGAUGAGCUCGCGGCCUAUCAGCUUGUUGGUGGGGUAAUGGCCUACCAAGGCGGCGACGGGUAGCCGGCCUGAGAGGGUGUACGGCCACAUUGGGACUGAGAUACGGCCCAG
rnacentral:rRNA from 1 species